rnacentral:rRNA from 1 species
CUGGCGGCGUGCCUAAUACAUGCAAGUCGAGCGAGAAGCUCAUGAUUGAAGAUUCGUCUGAUUGAUUGAGUGGAAAGCGGCGGACGGGUGAGUAACGCGUAGGCAACCUGCCCUUAGCAGAGGGAUAGCCAUUGGAAACGAUGAUUAAAACCUCAUAAAGCUGCUAUGUCACAUGAUGAAGCAGCCAAAGAUUUAUCGGCUAAGGAUGGGCCUGCGUCUGAUUAACUAGUUGGUGAGGUAACGGCCCACCAAGGUGACGAUCAGUAGCCGACCUGAGAGGGUGAUCGGCCACAUUGGAACUGAGACACGGUCCAAACUUCUACGGAAGGCAGCAGUAAGGAAUCUUGCACAAUGGGGGAAACCCUGAUGCAAGCAACGCCGCGUGAGUGAUGAAGGCCCUAGGGUUGUAAAGCUCUGAUCUGUGGGAAGAAGAAAGUGACGGUACCACAGGAGAAAGCCCCGGCUAAAUACGUGCCAGCCGCAGC